UUGGCCAAAAAGUUCAUUUGAGUUUUCCUGCACUAUCUUAUGGAAAAACCUGAAUGAACUUUUUGGGUAA
ensembl:miRNA